GGCUUCCGCUUCCGGUUCUGUUGGACGCUGUGGCUGUAAAGAUGAUCGGAGACAUCCUGCUCUUCGGAACGCUGCUGAUGAACGCUGGAGCGGUGCUUAACUUUAAGCUGAAAAAGAAGGACACGCAGGGCUUUGGGGAGGAGUCCAGGGAGCCUGGCACAGGUGACAAUAUCCGGGAGUUCCUACUGAGCCUCAGGUACUUCCGAAUCUUCAUCGCCCUGUGGAACGUCUUCAUGAUGUUCUGCAUGAUCGUGUUGUUUGGCUCCUGAGCUCCAGAUAUGGAACCAGGAACAUACCUUCCCAGAUGCCACGCCUUCCUCUGUUCCUGACAACUUCAAGAAUGUGUUUGACCGGAAAACCGGCUCUGAUUGACCACUCAGUGGAGCUGUCAUCCCUAGGACUUUAAGGGUGAAGUAUUACUGGUUCCCACAGAAGAGGUGCAGAACAGUUGGCAAGGGCAGACAGGUGUCUUAGGAGAAAUUUUAUAUUGCCUUGAAAGCUCUCUGUUAAAGGGGUUAUUAAUUGUACAAUUUUUAGAGUGAGAGUGAUUUAUGUGGUAAUAUUGGGAUGUAAUUCUGAAAGCUUGAGGUUUUGGAGUCAAAGUUGAAAAACAGUGAGCUUCAUUUGAGCAUUUUUCACAGAAGCUUCUUUGAAAGAGUCCUGAUUUAAUUGCCAAAAUAAAACACUAGUGGUCAGCACCUGGAUCUCAUAGGUGUUUAAUUUGUCUGUUGUGGUUUUUGAAAUCCUGACUUAAAAGUAAACCUGGUGGGAGGAACAAGCAAACAUGCAUGCUUUUAGAACUAACUAGCAUAGCCCUGGCCAGUUUGGCUUAGCAGUUGCGUGGUGGCCUGCACACUAGAGAGUCCUGGGUUCGGUUCCUGCUAGGGGCACGUACCACAAAAUAAAAUAAAAAACUAAAUAGUAUUGAAAAUGAAGUGCAUUUUCCCAAAAGGACCUUUGGUUAUACAUUUUUAAAAAUAAGACAUUGCCUUUCAAUUUGAGUCAUUUCUAAUUAAGCUAUGGGAAACACUUCAGAUUUUUUUGGAGGCUGUCAAAAAGAAAUGAUUAUCCCUUUUGGAUUUUGCUCAGUAAGUGUUGGUCAGGAAUUGGGCAAAUAUGGUUUUGACCUGGCUGCUCCUAGAAGAAUUGAAAGAGCCAGUGAUAAUGGUGGGGUUUCCCUAGACCAGGGUCAAAUCCACUUGUACUAUUGCUCAGCUAAUGUCAUUCUACUUCAUUGCUUCUAUAGCUUAUUCCCUUGUCAAAUCUGGCUAAGCAUCUCCCCAUUUGUAAGUAGCAGGGAAUAUAGCUUCUGAAUUGAGUUUUGCCCAGGCCU